GUUUGGUGAGAACAUUGAUCCCAAUCUCGUGUCUUCCAUUUUAAAUGUGAAGCUACAGACACGCAGCCUGUUAGCUUAGCCUAGCUUUGGUUAGAAUAAAACGUUGAAACUGCUAAAUUAAAGUUAAAAGCUGCCUAACAGUUCCUCUAAAUCACAAUAAUUAACAUGUUUUAUCCUAUUAUUCUAAAGCUCAUAAAAACGGUGUGUAAAAAGCACAAUUCGCCGUUUUAUGGGGUUUUUAUCCAGAGUUUCUUUGAGCAACUGGUUGCUAAGCAACCACUGGAGAAUACAGGAAGUGACAAGUGACAAAUAAAUGUUUGUAAGGCUUCAUUUCUGUACGAAUUAUAAACAGAUACAAAAAGCUUAUUAGUGAGCUUAAGAUGUGUUUGUAGGCUUAUUUUAUUACCUUUGGACGAGCCAAGCUAGCUGUUUUCCAGUUCCCGGUCUUAAACUAAGCUAACCUGUGUGAAUGCUUCUUCUCCUCAAACUCUCGGACAGAAUCUCAUCAAAGAAGGCAGUAUGGUGUGAAAGUCUGAGGUUCAAUUUGUGGUUAAAGAUUUUUCUUCCCACUCUGUCUGGAGUUUUCCAAGAGGACAUACAUGUCAGAAACACAGUGUGCUAUUCCAGUGCAUGAUUUGACACACUUUCCGCUCUGCAGCUCAUUAAACUAAAGAUAAAAGUCAAUUAAAAAUGUCUUCACA